AACGCGAAGAACCUUACCAGGGCUUGACAUCCUACUAACGAAGCAGAGAUGCAUUAGGUGCCCUUCGGGGAAAGUAGAGACAGGUGGUGCAUGGUUGUCGUCAGCCCGUGUCGUGAGAUGUUGGGUUAAGUCCCGCAACGAGCGCAACCCUUAUCGUUAGUUGCUACGCAAGAGCACUCUAGCGAGACUGCCGUUGACAAAACGGAGGAAGGUGGGGACGACGUCAAAUCAUCAUGCCCUUUAUGUCCUGGGCUACACACGUACUACAAUGGCGGUUAACAGAGGGAGGCAAACCCGCGAGGGGGAGCGAAACCCUAAAAACCGUCUCAGUUCAGAUCGCAGGCUGAAACCCGCCUGCGUGAAGGUGGAAUUGCUAGUAAUCGCGGAUCAGCAUGCCGCGGUGAAUACGUUCCCGGGUCUUGUACACACCG
rnacentral:rRNA from 1 species